AACGAACGCUGGCGGCAUGCCUAACACAUGCAAGUCGAACGAGACCUUCGGGUCUAGUGGCGCACGGGUGCGUAACGCGUGGGAACCUGCCCCUAGGUUCGGAAUAACUCCCCGAAAGGGGUGCUAAUACCGGAUAAUGUCUUCGGACCAAAGAUUUAUCGCCUUUGGAUGGGCCCGCGUUGGAUUAGCUAGUUGGUAGGGUAAAAGCCUACCAAGGCGACGAUCCAUAGCUGGUCUGAGAGGAUGAUCAGCCACACUGGGACUGAGACACGGCCCAGACUCCUACGGGAGGCAGCAGUGGGGAAUAUUGGACAGUGGGCGAAAGCCUGAUCCAGCAAUGCCGCGUGAGUGAUGAAGGCCUUAGGGUUGUAAAGCUCUUUUACCCGGGAUGAUAAUGACAGUACCGGGAGAAUAAGCUCCGGCUAACUCCGUG
rnacentral:rRNA from 1 species